AUCAACCCAGAUGCCGCUUGAACGGCGAUAGAGUAAAGUUGAGUUGGGUGCCGUCCUCUGUAUUAAUCACGAGAGAAGUUGCUCCUUAACAAUAGCGAUCAUAUAUUCAAAUUAUUUACGAGUUAUUUAGUGGCAACGGUAAAUUUUUACCAAAAAAGAUUAUUUUCUUUAUCGUUUGCGUUUUUUAUUGGUGGAUUUUUUUUAAAUGUGCGUGAGGAUUACAAAUGGAUAGUGUGGAACAUCGGAAGUUUGUGAAAGAAUUUUAAUAUCGUUUGGAAUUUCGCUUAAAAUUGCUAAAGACCGUUCGGCAUGGCCGACCCGCAAACGGUCAUAGAAGGAACAUUGAAAUACAGAGAUAAUAAGAAGUGGAAACCAAGGUGGUGCGUUAUAAGGAAACUAUCACCAGUGGCAGAAAUGUUGUUAUUGAAUUAGGAUGAGACCAACGGAUGAAAUCAUAAUGAAAUCUGCAUCAAUUAGCUCUUAAAAGUUCAAGAUUAUAUUAAAGAAACUAAAUAAAAGUCAUUUUGUUUUUCCUUAAA